rnacentral:ncRNA from 2 species
CAUUGCAUCAAGGGGUGCCUUUCCGACUCUUUUACAGAGGAGGUUACAUGGCUGAGAAUUUAUACCCUUAUCGAGCGGACCAGGAUAAUGCCUGCGUCGCCAUGAUGCGAUAAUGAAAU